UACUACCAGGUAAGGGAGGGAGAGGUGGAACCGUGGAAGAGACGGGAAGGCUGCGAUUAUGGUGGGGUGGAGAUCGAUCGGGAGGGAGAUACGAGACCAGGUCGAGUUAAAACGUUUUUGUUCGUUCGCUCGGUCGUUCUCUGGCCACAGCCAGAGCGGCUAGAGUAUGCCUGUAAGUGGAAACUGGCUUAAACAGCGCCGCAGGCCCAGCCCAUUUAAAACCCCCGGGAAAUAAGCCCCACGACGGCUUAGAGCAGCUCCAAGAGACCCCGAAUAGCUAAAUUUAGGGAUUUCCUCAAAAAAUAGCUAAAUUUGGGAAAUUUGGGCCCAAAACAGUCCUGCAACAAUAUCCUCAUCCCAUUCCUCAUAUCGAACAUAGCCAUCGGGAUCCCCCAUCCGUCAACCACCGAGCCCAAGAUCUCCCUCCGGCAUGUCCGUUCGCUUCGCCUAGGUACGCGCCAUCUUCUCCUUCUCUAGUUCCUUCGCCUCCUUCUCUGUUUGCUUCGCCCGAGUGGAGAGGCGCCCCGACCCGAGAGAAGUGGGAGGUGGUUCAGUAGGGGAGGGGAGGAGCAUGCCAACGGCCCAUUCCCAUGCUCUGCUGGGCAUGGCGCGAGGGCAGGGGCGAAGCCGCGCAGGGGAGGAGGGAAGGGGCGCAGGUGGUCGGCUGGGCAUGGCGUUGUGGCUCAGGAUGGCAAUGGGGUGGGUCUGGACAGGUCGGCCACAUAUCCAUCCCCAAACUCAUUAUCCAUCCACGAAAAUAUCCAUGGAUACAAAAAAAUAUUCACAUCCAUAUCCACACAAUAUACAUCAUAAACAGCAAAAUACAAUAGUAUUCGUGGAUAUCCAUGGACAGAGGCGGCGGCUCGUGGGGUUGGACUGAGGGAGUGAAGGACAAAAGAGGGAGUUAGGGUUAGGGUUGAGAAGGAAGGAAACUAUUUUUAUGACUCAUAUAGCUAGAUAAUGGACCCACAUGUCAGUAAUUUAUUUCUUUUAUUAAAUACCGGGUAUCCAUGGAUAUCCAUGAAUCAAAUGUGAUAUCAUGCCCACUCCACGAUUCGGCGGGUAUCCAUUCGUGGAUAUCCAUGGAGCGAGAACCCGUUUCAUACCCGCCAUCCAUUAGCUAGAUAUCCACAUCCAUUGCCAUCCUGAGUUGCGGCUGUUAGCGGAGGGGCGCAGGGGAGGAUGGAAGGGGCGCAGGUCGGCUAGACAUGGCGCGGGGAGCGCGCAGCAGCAGGAGCGGGGCGAUGGAGCACUCCCAGCAAGCAUACGGUGAUGAUGUCAAUGUGGAUUGUCCAAUACAGAACACCCAACAAGCCUGUUGUAUACCUGCUGACGAAAAACGUUGCACAAGUGCAAUACAACAGCUAUAUUGUAUUCUCUGAUGUUUUUGAACAAUGGAAGUGGCAACAUUUCUUGGCAACUUCGAGUGUAGCAGAUGCGUAUGAUGUUUGAUUUUUCAUGUUUGUCGUGCCAGUGUAAAUUUCAAUUGCACAGAUAGAUUUACUUUCAGCAGCUGGGCUAAGAUGAGACAGAGAGACUAAAUUUGUUGUAUAUACCAUUUAUGAAAUUACACAGAGAUGACUUUGUAAAUUGAAGCACUGAUAUUUGUUGUGUAUACCAUUUAUAAAAUUAUGGAGUGUUGUGAUGGAUUCUCAAGAUGUUUUUGUAAAUUGAAG
rnacentral:lncRNA from 1 species